CUGGACAAUGGUGGCUUGGUGAAGGGGAAAAACAAGCUAAUUAAGUUUUAGUUUUAUCUGUUUUUGAAUUUUCCUACAGUAAUAUCAAUCGUUCAACAAGUAAACUGGUUGAGUGCUUGUGCAGGAUCUUAUGCAUAAUCAGGUCUAAGAAGAAUGGUUGGAGAUGGAUUUUCAUGACCAUGCACAUCUUGUGCACUUUUUGGCAAGUUUCAAACUCUUUCUGUGACAUCACAUAAGCAGCUACAUGGCCAUGCAAGAGGUUAUGCAACUUUCGACAACUCUAGAUUGCACAGUUUAUAUAGCUCCUUAUGUAACUUUGGACAGUUUUCAAAUUUAGUAAUAUUUACACUUUAUUUUUGGUAUCUUUAAACUUGGAAUUUAUUCUUCAAAUAUGUAGUUGACUCCUAA